rnacentral:rRNA from 1 species
UAAGCAUAUCAUAGCGGAGGAAAAGAAACUNACAAGGAUUCCCCUAGUAACGGCGAGUGAAGCGGGAAUAGCUCAAAUUUAAAAUCUGGUUGGUUUCCAACCUGAAUUGUAGUUUAAAGAAAUUUUUUCGGGAGUCGACCAGGAUUAAGUUCCUUGGGAUGGGGCAUCAUAGAAGGUGAGAAUCCUGUAUGGUUCUGGCUUGACUCCUAUGUGAUAAAUUUUCAAAGAGUCGGGUUGUUUGGGAAUGCAGCCCAAAAUGGGUGGUAAAUACCAUCUAAAGCUAAAUAUUGGUGAGAGACCAAUAGCGAACAAGUACCGUGAGGGAAAGAUGAAAAGAACUUUGAAAAGAGAGUUAAAAGUACGUGAAAUUGUUAAAAGGGAAACACUUGAAACCAGUCUUGAGGUUGAAAUUAUUAUUUUUGAUUUCAACUUCAGGUCAACAUCAGUUUUGAAUGGAGGAAAAAGCGCGAGGAAGGUGGCCCCUCGGGGAGUUUAUAGCCUCGUGUAAUACUCUGUUUGGGACUGAGGAAUGCAGUGCAGUCUUGGGUACCUUAUCGCUAGCCGAAUCACUUUGCAGACAACUUGUUGAUUGCAAGGGAGCUAAAGCUACUCGGUUUGUUUGCCACACC